UGGGCUGCAGCGCGGGGGGUGAAGGCAGCGGGCGGAACCAAUCGCAUUCCUGCUGGAGGGCAUAUUUAAGACAAAAAUGGCAAUUGUAAAGAACUUGAGCAGAACCCUUAGUCAGUUGCUACAGAGUCCCGGUUGUGGAUGUCAGACUUCCAUUGUGCCAGUUAGAUGUAUUGGUGUCUCACCACGUCAGGUGACCUCAGAUGCCAGCUUUCAUUCAGUAUCUUUUUCAGAGACUGAUCAUCCUCGAGUGUUAAUUACAGGGGGCCUGGGCCAACUUGGGGUGGGACUCGCUAAACUCUUGAGGUAUGUUACGAUUUUGUAAUUUUAUACAUAGUAAGAAGUUAAAAACCCCACGAUCAAGAUUUUCAGAAGUGACUAGUUACGUUGAGUGUCUCAAGUUGAGCAUCCAAAAUCUUAUGAAAACUGUAGCUAAGAAUCUUAGAAUGCUGAAUGGGACAUUUAAAAGUCCAUAUUUUAAAAUAUCCUUAGAAUUGCUGCUAUUACUUCAGAAAUCCAAGAUGUAAUUAAGAU